GGCCGAGUCGGGGCGCCCCUAGCGGCUCCUGCUUCACCCUCCGCCCGAGCCCGGAGCUGCUGCUGCGCUGUGUCCCUCCCCUUGGCCCUCAGCCGGCUCGGCCCCCUCACGCCGCCCCGCUCCAGCCGCCGCCGCCGCCGCAGCAUGAGGUUCUCCGCGCUCUGCCGACUAAGCCGGGGAGCCGCCGCCUCGCUAGCGGGCAGGAAGGGGCCCGCGCCGCUGCAAGCCGGCUCGCCCGCGACCCGCCGGGGCACGGCCAGCACUUGGGGCCGCUGGGAGAAGCAACAGGCUGGCGGCGGCGGGAGCUGCAGCGCGCGGGGCUCGGCGGCCGGAGAAAUCAUUCAGAGUUCAAAGAAAGUCCUGGCAUCUUUGCAGAAAGGACACCCUACAUUUAUGCCGACGCUUGCCAUUGUACAGGCAAGUGAUGAAGAUUUGGUGCAAGAAAUAAACCAGAACUUUGCCAAAGAGAUUGGUCUGCACGUUAUUCACAUUUGCCUUCCUCAGGGUAGCAGUGAAGAUGAGAUUGUUGGUGAAAUCUUGAGACUCAAUGAAGAUCCUACGGUUCACGGCAUUGCCCUUCACCUCUCUGAAAAUGCAUACAGCACCAAAAUAUUAAAUGCAGUAAAACCAGAGAAGGAUGUGGAUGGAGUAUCAGAUGUAAACCUGGGACGGUUGGUGCGUGGAGAUACUUACAACUGUUCAGUUUCUCCCACUGCCAGCGCUGUGAUGGAGCUUCUUGACAAAAUAGCAGUUAAAACCAUAGAUGGAAAGAAGGUGUUACUAGUGGGAACUUGUGGGCCUCUGGAAGCCUCUUUGCAGUGCCUGCUUCAGAGAAAAGGUGCCAUGACUAUGAGCUGCCAGUGGAAAACACAGCAACUUCAGAGCAAGCUUCAUCAGGCAGAUGUGGUGGUGGUUGGCAGUACCAAACCUAAGGAGAUUCCAGUCAGUUGGAUAAGGCCUGGAACAACCAUUGUCAGUUGUUAUCCUGACUUUUUAUCAGGGGAACAUGGUUAUGGUCAAGAUUUAAAGUACAGUAACCAGUCUGCUGUAGAGGCUGUAGGUCCUCUGGCAAUAGCAGUGCGGAUGCAGAACAUGGUAAAAACCAGCGAGAGAUGGAUCCAGUCUCAGCAAUACAGGGAAUGGAACCUCCAUUGCUUGAAACUUCAGCCCCUCUCCCCAGUGCCCAGUGAUAUUGAGAUUUCCCGAGGACAGAGUCCAAAAGCUGUUGAUGUACUUGCCAAGGAGAUAGGAUUGCUUGCAGAUGAAAUUGAAAUCUAUGGCCAAACCAAAGCCAAAGUACGUUUGUCCCUGCUGGAAAGGUUAAAGGAUCAACCAGAUGGAAAAUACGUUCUAGUUGCUGGGAUAACACCUACACCUCUUGGAGAGGGGAAAAGCACUGUCACGAUUGGUCUUGUUCAAGCUCUAACUGCACAUCUUAAUGUGAAUUCCUUUGCAUGUCUGAGACAACCUUCCCAGGGACCUACUUUUGGAGUUAAAGGUGGGGCUGCUGGAGGUGGAUAUGCUCAAGUCAUUCCAAUGGAAGAGUUCAACCUUCAUUUGACUGGAGAUAUCCAUGCUAUUACUGCUGCUAAUAAUUUGCUGGCUGCUGCUAUUGAUGCGAGGAUCUUGCAUGAAAGCACUCAGUCUGAUAAGGCUUUGUAUAAUAGGCUGGUUCCAGUAGUUAAUAGUGUGAGAGAAUUUUCUUCUAUUCAGCUUGCCCGCUUAAAAAGGUUGGGGAUAAACAAGACAGAUCCAGGCACUUUAACAGCAGAUGAGAUUAGUAAAUUUGUACGCCUUGAUAUUGACCCAUCUACCAUAACAUGGCAAAGAGUAUUGGAUACAAAUGACCGAUUCCUAAGAAAAAUAACAGUUGGGCAGGCAAAUACAGAGAAGGGAUUUUUCCGACAGGCUCAGUUUGACAUUGCUGUUGCAAGUGAAAUCAUGGCAAUCUUAGCACUGACCACCAGCCUGGCAGACAUGAAAGAGAGACUGGGAAAAAUGGUGGUGGCUAAUGACAAAAAUGGACAACCAGUGACAGCUGAGGAUUUGGGAGUAACAGGUGCUUUGGCAGUUUUGAUGAAGGAUGCAAUUAAGCCAACACUAAUGCAGACUUUAGAGGGAACUCCAGUAUUUGUGCAUGCUGGACCCUUUGCUAAUAUUGCACAUGGGAACUCUUCAGUUUUGGCAGACAAGAUUGCCCUGAAGCUGGUUGGAGAAGGAGGAUUUGUGGUAACUGAAGCUGGUUUUGGUGCUGACAUUGGGAUGGAGAAAUUCUUCAACAUCAAAUGCAGAGCAUCUGGCUUAGUUCCCAGCGUGGUUGUGCUUGUUGCUACAGUGAGGGCUUUGAAAAUGCAUGGAGGAGGGCCAAAUGUAACUGCUGGUGCCCCUCUUAAGAAAGAAUAUACAGAAGAGAAUCUCCAGCUGGUAGCUGACGGCUGUUGUAAUCUACAGAAGCAAAUUCAGAUUGCUCAACUCUUCGGAGUUCCUGUUGUAGUUGCUCUAAAUGUCUUCAAAACUGACUCCCAUGCUGAAGUUGAUUUAGUCUGUGAGAUUGCAAAACAGUCUGGAGCAUUUGAUGCAGUACCCUGCAAUCACUGGUCAGCUGGUGGUAGAGGAGCUGUGGAAUUGGCUCAGGCUGUGAGAAAAGCUGCCAGUCAGGAAAACAGCUUCAAAUAUCUGUACAACUUGGAGCUUCCUAUUAUUGAAAAAAUAAGAAUCAUUGCUCAGAAGGUUUAUGGAGCUGAGGAUAUAGAAUUGUCUCCUGAAGCUCAAUCUCAAAUCAGUCGUUACAGCAAACAGGGUUUUGGAAAUCUUCCAAUUUGUAUGGCAAAAACUCACCUGUCCCUCUCCCACCAGCCUGAGAGGAAAGGUGUUCCAACUGGCUUCAUUCUGCCUAUUAGUGAUGUGCGGGCCAGCAUCGGAGCUGGGUUCAUCUACCCAUUAGUAGGAACGAAGCUGCUGCCUUUAUCGCCAGCCCCAUAAAUUCUGUUGUGAACAGCUUCUGACAUCACAUGGCAUGAGCUAUUACUAGUCAUGUAGCUGAAUCAUGGAAUGGUGCUAGAGAAGGGACACAGGCACUACUGCAUUUCCGGAGAACACUCGCCUGGCGUUAUCUCAUCUUCCCAGAACGCAGCAUGAUUUCCUUACAUGGCAGCACACCGGGGAAUGGCUGAGAGCAUCUAACUUAUUUUUUUAAAUUCCCUCUGAAACAUUCAAAUGUUGGAAGCAAGGAAGGAAGUCGUUCCUGAGAAGGAGAGGUCCUGGAGUUCAGGGAACUGGGUCAUUAGGACUCACUGGCCGUGGGGAUAUGCUUUCUAUGUACAUGACCAGGAUGAGCACCAUGCCAGGACUUCCUACAAGGCCUUGUUUCUAUGACAUUGACCUUGACCCAGACACAGAGCAAGUAAAAGGGUUGUUUUGAGAGAAGUGUCCAAGUUCAGAAUUCUGAAAAUACAAACUGCUACUUCACUAUUUCCUGCAAUAGGAGACGAGUGAAUUUGAAAUAUGCCUGUUAUGUGUCUCUGGAGAGAUAUCAAGAGAGACCAAAGAGAGAAAAUCUACACUUCUUUCUGCCCAUUUUUAUGACACACACAAAAAAAGUUUGUUACAAACUAAUUUAUUCUUGGUUUAGUGCAGAGAAAUCUUUUGCCAUGCUUACUAUUGCUUGCAUUUCAGAAUGUUUGUUUUAUCGAUAAUAUGGUGUGAACAGAAAGGUGAAAUUUUCCACUCCAGGAUUUUGUAUUCUUUAUUUGAGCUGCUAACAAAAGUAUUUCCUUCAUCAGUGGCCAUCUAAAAAAUUAACAUAAACAGGAUUACACUGCUUGAUAAAGCCUGUUGCUCUUGAAAAGUACAGUUCAGCUGCUGGCAUUCAGGAGCUGAAACCACACACAAAUUAGCUGCACAUUUCUGAGUUAUCAGCAAGUGUUGCUAUGGGCACUGCUGGGGAAGAGCCAAAUUUCAAAUGAGGGGACUGUUGAAGAAUAACAAGCAAGAGUUUUUUAAUACAGAAUUUGUUUCCUCUGAGGCCAAUCAGCUCUGAAAAACUUAAAACAUAGUAUGUCCAAUAGUCAUAGGUACUUUCAUCAGUCAAAGGCGCUUGUUACCAGUUUUACAGUGUUUUGGUCUAUUUUGUUCAGUAUCUUGACCAUAAAUCCCAAAUGUCAACAAGCUUUGUUUCUUUUUAAAAUCAGCUGUCUAAGGAGAAAGAAGGAAUGUCUGUCUUGUCAGUUUUUUGAAAAAUAUCAACCUCUAACCUUGUUUCCCAGUGGAGUGGGUUAUUGUCAUUAUUCUGGAGGGUUUUUCUUACAGUGCAAUAUUGAGGGUCUGGUGUUGCUUUACAGUCAGCAGGUGGUACUGCCAGUGAAAACUAACCAUUCUUUAUUUGGGGGUUGUGGUAUGCUGUUCCCAUGCUCCAGCCACCCUCUGUAGGGACAGUUGGGUGCUGUAGCAUGUUAAAAAUCAAAAUUGAGCAGUUCUUUUGACUUUCUUUGAGUGCCCAUUGAAUGAAUCACUGCUACAGUAAGGCAAACUUUCACACAGUACAUAUUUAACAGGUUACUUUUGAAUAUUUCUUUUCUCGUUUUUGCUGUUUAUUUUCCAAAUAUGUGCCUGAAAGAAAGGUCUUCCUCCUAGUGCACAUGCUCCUUUGACCUGAUUCAUUCAGUGAACUCCUUUGCACAAUAUUUUGGACAUUGAAAACACAUUAUUACAACACCACCUAGUAAAGUGGAGAACAGCCCAAAAUGUCAUGCUACUCAGAUAAUACAUUGUACACCAUCAACCAAGUCCACAUAAUUAUCAACCUAGAUGUAAGGGCCAGCUGCUAAAAUUGUCUGGUAUUUUAUGCAGAAGUAAUGCUCAUAUUUAAUACUUUAAUAUGGCCUCAUUUAGGUUUCCAGUAGCAAAAUGUUGACUCCAUCCAGUUAUUUCUGGGCACAAACAAAAGUCCUGAACCUCCAAAAGUCGCAUUAGUAAGCUCCAGCUGCUCUCUGUCACCCAAGAAUGCAUUGCACUAGGACUCCAUUCAUGCCAUGGAGGAUCUGGCUGAUAGGAAGCCUAAUAAACCAAUUCUUUUUAAUGAUUUGGUUCAUUUUCUCAGCACUUCUCUAUUUUGAUUAUUAUAUGCAAUUUAUAAUUUAAAAAAGAGAUGACGCCAGUUUUCUAAGCUCGUUUUCAAGAACUACAAGCUGGUACAGCUUGGUUUUCAAAAAGGAAGGCACACAAUGAGAAAAACAAGCUGUCUAUGUGAUGAGGUGGUUACAAUGAUGGGGUUGGGUGCUAAACUAGGGUGCUGCACUUUUGGGGGUCCUUGAGUAAUUUCAGGCAUACGGUUGGUUAUGGCUUUCUCCUACUAGGCUGUUUUUUCUAUAUAGUGUGUAUCCUGUAUGUGGUGAACAGGAUACAUAUGUGUAGUCUCAAAAACAGAGCAUUUUUGAAACCAUGGCGCUUUCAUAUGACACAGAAUUUUGGGCCUCUCAAGAUCAUGUUUUCCAUUUUUAACCAUCAUACUUAACAUAUAAAACUGAGUGUGCCUCAUAGCUGAAUUGGAUAUUCAUUUAAACAAGUAUUCAGCAGAUUGCUGAGUAGAAUCUCACGCAGUAUGCUUUUAGACCACCACAGUAACUGACUCUUCUUUCUUUGGACUUUUUUCUGACAGCAAUCCAGAAUAAAAUAGAGGCUUCUGAAAAUACACAGAAUAUUGUAUUUUCAAGCUUUUGAAGUGCUCCUUCUCAGGAAAUGCUCAUGGACUGGUUCCUUCAAUAAAAGAGCAACAAAACAAUGGGGUCUGGAGAGACACUAUAUCAUUGUCCUUUUAAGUGAAAACAGUGAAAUAAUGACCUGAAAUAGUUUAUUUCCCAAGUGACAUCCUCCAGUGGUGCUCCACCCAGCUUACUCAUGUCUAUAUAUGUUAUAGGCUUGAACAAUGUCUCUUUGGUCCUGUUUACAUCGCUACUCCCACCAUGUUUGGGGACUCCAUUACAUCACACGGUUCUCUAACCAGUUUUUGUAAAGAGUUUAGUCUUGCAGGGAUUGAACCUUGUUUCAACUGUGUACCUUAACUGUGCCAGAGCCUUGGACGCUAGUGAGACAGCAGCACGGACUGGGGGCACAGUAGAAAUAAUGCUCCUUCCAGAAACAUAUUUUAAGUAUGAGGACUACUGUGUUGUAACUCGGACAUCUAGCAUGGAGUUACAGUAAAGAUGGGACUCUAAUGGUUCCAAAGCAUUUGACAUGUUCUGUUAACAAGGUUCACUUCACAAAUUUAGCUUAUGCCAGGCUAGACUCUGGGCCGUCUGUGAUUAUACCAUACCAGCUACAAUGAUGUAUAAACAAACCUGUUACUAGCAAGAUUUGAGCCCAGUUUUCCAGACAAUUGUGGGCAGAGAUUUUUGGUCUAAGAGAUUUUAUUAAACUGUGCCUUAGGCUCAAUCUACGCUAUGUUUAUACCUAUAUUGUAGUCUAAUCCCACAACUCAUUUGUAUUUGUCAUGUAGAUAGGCUCAAACACCACCUGGGAGAAAAAUAUAAAUCUACACUUGGGGGGUUUCCUCGAAUGGUUGUCAGAAAAAGUGUCUAUUCCACACUGCUUAAAGAAACUUCUAGCAACAGCCAUGUUCUACCACAGGGCUUCUACUACAGCUAACUCAGUUCUGACCUCAGUGCAGUGCGGAUUCUAAGCACUCCUGGUUUUGAAGCAUCCACUGCUAUUGACCAGUGAACGCUGCAUGAGGAAUGUGAGGCUCUCAGAGUGAUAGGAUUUAACAAACCAUUCCAAACUCCCAUUUUAUAUACACAUGGCUCCCCAUAGCAUAUGUUCCAGGUAAAUAUUUUUAAUUUAGACUAUACUGUCUUUCCUCCCUGAACAAUAUUUCUGGUACUUAUUUCUCUUACUGCAGCACAAGAGUCAGUGAAGAUAGUCAGGAGUUAAUGAGGUGCGUGUGAUUUCUUGACAGUCAUCUGGGUAGAGGAUUUUUUUUUUAAUGCUACAAUGUUCUGAUGUAUUCAUCACCAAGAAAUCUUUGAGCCAUUUCAAUCUCUUUCAUUAUUUCCCAGGUUUGCUUUUCCCUACUCAAAUAUCUGCAGAAAUCUUUUGAACUAACCAAUUUCAGCUUCUUCACCUAUUUAUCCUUUCAAGUUUUAGGGUGAGAUGUUCUAAAGCACUCAGCACUGCCAUCGUUCUGGUCCCAUUGACAUCAAUGGCAGUUUUACCAUUGAGUGGGAGCAGAUUUAAGCCAUCACUGAGCUCUUCUGAAAAUCCUGCCCUCAGUGUGUUAUUUUUUCCUUUCAUUUGCUUUAUUUAGAAUGCCUUCUAGGUUAUUUAUUCUUAAAAGUGGAAAAAAGUAUUAUGAGUAUCAUUAUUUAUAUAGUGUUGUAGGUGUUACUGGUGCUUUGUGGACUUAUAGGAAGAUAAGGUCCCUUACCUGAGGACUUUUCAUACCACUGAGGAUAGCACAGAUGCUAACAGAUCGUGGUUGGGGAGGAAAUGUAAGAGAAAGGAUUGAAGUUACAGAAGAGAAGGCAGUGAAUAUUGCUUAUUUUAGAGAAUCUAAUUGUUACGAAAUAUUACAAGUGACCUGUAUACUAUGCCUGCAAAUUGCAAAGUAUUGUGGAAUGUCAGAAGCUUUUAAAACCCACUUCAUGCUGAGGUAUGAGUGGUCAUGAACAUAUUGCUAUAAAAGGUUUGGAAUCCUUUCGCAUUGCGUAGUAUAUAGCAAUAUUUGUGAAGGCUGCAGCUCUUCAUAAAAACUGCAGCAGUCUCAAGAGAUAAAUCCUGAAAAAUAUCCUGGGUGAAGAGAGGAAAUCAAGCAAUGAUAUACUUUUAUAGAGCCUUUUUUGGAAGAUUUCGAAGGAGUUUGCAAAAGUGGGUAGCCAGUAGUAUUCCUAGGAAGAAAGGGAGUACUAGUGGCACCUUAGAGACUAACCAAUUUAUUUGAGCAUAAGCUUUUGUGAGCUACAGCUCACUUCAUCGGAUGCAGUGAGCUGUAGCUCACGAAAGCUUACGCUCACAUAAAUUGGUUAGUCUCUAAGGUGCCACUAGUACUCCUUUUCUUUUUGCGAAUACAGAAUAACACGGCUGCUACUCUGAAACCUAGUUUUCCUAGGUUACUGGUUUGCAAUAUGCGGCACAGAGAAGCAACAUUAUGUGCUUGGUCACAGUGAGUCAGUUGCAGAGCUAGGAAUAGAAUCCAGGUGACCUGACUCCCUGCUCUGGGCUGUAACGCCAGACCAGUUUUAGGACAUGUUCCAUAAUCACAAUUAUGGGAAAAGACGUGAACUAUUUUUCUUUGCUUCUUAUUUUUUAUGUUAGGAGCCACAUGGCAAUUUCUGUAUGAUCAUUUAUAUCCAUAGAUCUGCUUUUUUUGUACUUAAUACUUAGUUGCUACCACUGGAGUAAAAACCUGACUGCACAGAAAUAUGUUCAAGCUACUUAAAAGUUUUGUUGUCUUUUUUUGUAUUUCAAAAUCCAAAACUCAGUAGUGUGUACAUUAAAAAAAAAUAAAGUAUAUACCUUCUUAUGGAUACCGA